GCCACCGUAAUGUAAUCUUCUUGAGGGCAGAGACUGGAAUUACUUUAUGUUCUUAGUGUCUGAUACAAAGUGGUUGUUUUGUAAAUGAUAGCUGGCAGACUAAUAAGCAGGAAGAGGAAUAUGGAACAAAGCCGGAAUAUAGAGAAUUGGAGUACAGAGUUCCUAAAAUUCGAAGAAAAGGUAGGUAAGAUGCCAGAGAUAGUCUCUUGAAGGGAAAGUGGUUACAAGGUGAUAAUAGGCAGUAUCUCUACUGAACAAUUGGAAAUAAUAUGUGAAGGAAAGGGAGAGGGAACAUGGCCACAUGAACUGAUGAUUUAUUUUAUUUAUUUAUUUAUUAUUUUAUUUUAUUUUAUUUUAUUUCAUUUUAUUUUAUUUUUUGAGACAGAGUCUCGCUCUGUCGCCCAGGCUGGUGUGUAGUGGCGCGAUCUCAGUUCACUGCAACCUUGGCCUCCCAAAGUGCUGAGAUUACAUGCAUGAGCCACCAUGCCCAGCAUGAACUGAUUUUUAAAUAAUGUGCACAAG
rnacentral:lncRNA from 1 species